CCAUUUCUGGAGGCUGAGCAUUCUUGGACUGUCCAAUCAUCUCUCAAGGAAACCCUAUAGCUCGAGUUAUUUGAAAACUGGUGUGGACGAUGCCUUGGAGAACACGCUGCAGGGAACAAUCCUGAGCCGUGGAGCAGGGGUAAGGGAGGGGGCAUCCUUAUGUGAAAAGCACCUGCACCCCAGAAAUGUGGGCACCCCCAGGCUGUGGGCUGCCACUUGGCCAGAGAGCACCCAAAUCUAGCCUCAAUGUCUCCUGGCGCGGGGUGGGGAGAAGCUGGGACAAUGGAAGGAGGAGGAUGAGCCAAGAUUUCCCAAGAAGCGGCGCUCUGGUGCCUGGAGGCAGGGAUCGAUCUCCAGCCAUUCGGUCCCUGAGCUGGGAUCGGCAGCCCACGAGCUCCCGUGGGCGCUGAACGCCGCCUGCUCCGCUGUCCAGGGCGUGUACUGCCCCAUGGCGUUCACCUCGUGCCAG